AGCAGCCGCGGUAAUCCCAGCUCCAAUAGCGUAUAUUAAAGUUGUUGCAGUUAAAAAGCUCGUAGUUGAAUUUCGGGGUUAGCAGGUCGGUCGUGCCAUCGGUAUGAACUGGUCUCGCUGAUCCCUCCCUCUUGACGAACUGUGAUGCCAUUAAUUUGGUGUCGCAGGGAAUCAGGACUGUUACUUUGAAAAAUUAGAGUGUUUAAAGCAGGCUCACGCUUGAAUACAUUAGCAUGGAAUAAUGAAAUAGGACGUUUGAUCCUAUUUUGUUGGUUUCUAGGAUUGACGUAAUGAUUAAUAGGGAUAGUUGGGGGCAUUAGUAUUCAAUUGUCAGAGGUGAAAUUCUUGGAUUUAUUGAAGACUAACUACUGCGAAAGCAUUUGCCAAGGAUGUUUUCAUUAAUCAAGAACGAAAGUUAGGGGAUCGAAGACGAUCAGGUACCGUCGUAGUCUUAACCAUAAACUAUGCCGACUAGGGAUCGGAUGAUGUUAAUUUUAAUGACUCAUUC
rnacentral:misc_RNA from 1 species